UGGGGAAUAUUGGGCAAUGGGGGAAACCCUGACCCAGCAACGCCGCGUGAGGGAAGAAGGUUUUCGGAUUGUAAACCUCUGUCCUUGGUGAAGAAAGAGAUGACGGUAGCCAAGGAGGAAGCCCCGGCUAACUACGUGCCAGCAGCCGCGGUAAUACGUAGGGGGCGAGCGUUGUCCGGAAUUACUGGGCGGAAAGGGUGCGUAGGCGGCGAUGCAAGUCCAUUGUGAAAAGCCCGGGCUUAACCUGGGAGGUGCAGUGGAAACUGCAUGGCUUGAGUGCAGGAGAGGAAAGUGGAAUUCCUAGUGUAGCGGUGAAAUGCGUAGAUAUUAGGAGGAACACCAGUGGCGAAGGCGGCUUUCUGGACUGUAACUGACGCUGAGGCACGAAAGCGUGGGGAGCAAACAGG
rnacentral:rRNA from 2 species